rnacentral:rRNA from 1 species
AUGAACGCUAGCUACAGGCUUAACACAUGCAAGUCGAGGGGCAGCAUGGUCUUAGCUUGCUAAGACUGAUGGCGACCGGCGCACGGGUGAGUAACACGUAUCCAACCUGCCGUCUACUCUUGGACAGCCUUCUGAAAGGAAGAUUAAUACAAGAUGGCAUCAUGAGUCCGCAUGUUCACAUGAUUAAAGGUAUUCCGGUAGACGAUGGGGAUGCGUUCCAUUAGAUAGUAGGCGGGGUAACGGCCCACCUAGUCUUCGAUGGAUAGGGGUUCUGAGAGGAAGGUCCCCCACAUUGGAACUGAGACACGGUCCAAACUCCUACGGGAGGCAGCAGUGAGGAAUAUUGGUCAAUGGGCGAGAGCCUGAACCAGCCAAGUAGCGUGAAGGAUGACUGCCCUAUGGGUUGUAAACUUCUUUUAUAAAGGAAUAAAGUCGGGUAUGGAUACCCGUUUGCAUGUACUUUAUGAAUAAGGAUCGGCUAACUCCGUGCCAGCAGCCGCGGUAAUACGGAGGAUCCGAGCGUUAUCCGGAUUUAUUGGGUUUAAAGGGAGCGUAGAUGGAUGUUUAAGUCAGUUGUGAAAGUUUGCGGCUCAACCGUAAAAUUGCAGUUGAUACUGGAUAUCUUGAGUGCAGUUGAGGCAGGCGGAAUUCGUGGUGUAGCGGUGAAAUGCUUAGAUAUCACGAAGAACUCCGAUUGCGAAGGCAGCCUGCUAAGCUGCAACUGACAUUGAGGCUCGAAAGUGUGGGUAUCAAACAGGAUUAGAUACCCUGGUAGUCCACACGGUAAACGAUGAAUACUCGCUGUUUGCGAUAUACUGCAAGCGGCCAAGCGAAAGCGUUAAGUAUUCCACCUGGGGAGUACGCCGGCAACGGUGAAACUCAAAGGAAUUGACGGGGGCCCGCACAAGCAGUGGAGUAUGUGGAUUAAUUCGAAGCAACGCGAAGAACCUUACCAAGUCUUGACAUCCUCCUGACCGGUCCUUAACCGGACCUUUCCUUCGGGACAGGAGAGACAGGUGGUGCAUGGUUGUCGUCAGCUCGUGCCGUGAGGUGUCGGCUUAAGUGCCAUAACGAGCGCAACCCUUGUUGUCAGUUACUAACAGGUUCCGCUGAGGACUCUGACAAGACUGCCAUCGUAAGAUGUGAGGAAGGUGGGGAUGACGUCAAAUCAGCACGGCCCUUACGUCCGGGGCUACACACGUGUUACAAUGGGGGGUACAGAGGGCCGCUACCACGCGAGUGGAUGCCAAUCCCCAAAACCUCUCUCAGUUCGGACUGGAGUCUGCAACCCGACUCCACGAAGCUGGAUUCGCUAGUAAUCGCGCAUCAGCCACGGCGCGGUGAAUACGUUCCCGGGCCUUGUACACACCGCCCGUCAAGCCAUGGGAGCCGGGGGUACCUGAAGUGCGUAACCGCGAGGAGCGCCCUAGGGUAAAACUGGUGACUGGGGCU